rnacentral:rRNA from 1 species
GGGUGCUUGCACCUGGUGGCGAGUGGCGAACGGGUGAGUAAUAUAUCGGAACGUACCUUAUCGUGGGGGAUAACGCAGCGAAAGCUGCGCUAAUACCGCAUACGCCCUGAGGGGGAAAGCGGGGGACCGUAAGGCCUCGCGCGAUUAGAGCGGCCGAUAUCUGAUUAGCUUGUUGGUGGGGUAAAAGCCCACCAAGGCGACGAUCAGUAGCUGGUCUGAGAGGACGAUCAGCCACACUGGGACUGAGACACGGCCCAGACUCCUACGGGAGGCAGCAGUGGGGAAUUUUGGACAAUGGGGGCAACCCUGAUCCAGCAAUGCCGCGUGAGUGAAGAAGGCCUUCGGGUUGUAAAGCUCUUUUGUCAGGGAAGAAACAGCAGCUCUAACACAGUCUGCGAAUGACGGUACCUGAAGAAUAAGCACCGGCUAGCUACGUGCCAGCAGCCGCGGUAAUACGUAGGGUGCAAGCGUUAAUCGGAAUUACUGGGCGUAAAGCGUGCGC